GGGGGUUAUAGGUUGUCGCUGCUAACGAUGAUUGGAAUAAUAAGUUUGUUCGGCCCCU
rnacentral:tRNA from 1 species